GAUGAAGAACGCAGCGAAAUGCGAUAAGUAGUGUGAAUUGCAGAAUUCAGUGAAUCAUCGAAUCUUUGAACGCACAUUGCGCCCCUUGGUAUUCUAUGGGGCAUGCCUGUUCGAGCGUCAUUUGUACCCUCAAGCUUUGCUUGGUGUUGGGCGUCUUGUCUUGUAUUAGACUCGCCUUAAAGUCAUUGGCAGCCAGUGUUUUUGGUAGUAAGCGCAGCACAUUUUGCGUCUUAGUCCUUGAAUCGUGGCAUCCAUGAAGCCUUUUUUCACUUUUGACCUCGGAUCAGGUAGGGAUACCCGCUGAACUUAAGCAUAUCAAUAAGCGGAGGA
rnacentral:misc_RNA from 1 species